ACGAAGGGGGCGAGCGUUGUUCGGAAUUACUGGGCGUAAAGGGCGCGUAGGCGGUCUUUUAAGUUAGGCGUGAAAGCCCCGGGCUCAACCCGGGAACUGCGCUUAAGACUGGAAGACUAGAAAACGGAAGAGGGUAGUGGAAUUCCCAGUGUAGAGGUGAAAUUCGUAGAUAUUGGGAAGAACACCAGUGGCGAAAGCGGCUACCUGGUCCGAUUUUGACGCUGAGGCGCGAAAGCGUGGGGAGCAAACAGG
rnacentral:rRNA from 1 species